rnacentral:rRNA from 1 species
UGAGUACGAGAUGCUACGGCAUCGAAGCAGUCUAUGUCAUACUUCCAAGAAAAGCUUGCAAUGUCAUAAACAAAUAAUGCCUGUACCAUAACCGACACAGGUGGGUAGGUAGAGUAUACUAAGGGGCGCGAGAUAACUCUCUCUAAGGAACUCGGCAAAAUGACUCCGUAACUUCGGGAGAAGGAGUGCCUUAUUUUUAUAAGGUUGCAAUAACAAGAUCCAAGCAACUGUUUACCAAAAACACAGGUCUCCGCUAAGUCGUAAGACGAUGUAUGGGGGCUGACGCCUGCCCAGUGCCAGAAGGUUAAAGAAGUUGGUUAGCAUUAGCGAAGCUGAUAACUGAAGCCCUGGUGAACGGCGGCCGUAACUAUAACGGUCCUAAGGUAGCGAAAUUCCUUGUCGGGUAAGUUCCGACCCGCACGAAAGGCGUAAUGAUUUGGAUACUGUCUCGGAGAGGGGCUCGGUGAAAUAGACUUGUCUGUGAAGAUGCGGACUACCUGCACCUGGACAGAAAGACCCUAUGAAGCUUUACUGUAACUUGAGAUUGAAAUUGGACUUUAUCUGCGCAGUAUAGGUGGGAGACGUUGAAAAUAUUCUUGCGGGAAUAUUGGAGUCAUCAGUGAGAUACCACUCUUAUAAUGUUAGAUUUCUAACUUUGUAUCAUUAUCUGGUCAAAGAACAGUUUCAGGCGGGCAGUUUGACUGGGGCGGUCGCCUCCCAAACGGUAACGGAGGCGCACAAAGGUUUCCUCUGAACGUGUAGAAAUCGUAUCUAGAGUGUAAAGGCAUAAGGAAGCUUGACUGUGAGACCUACAAGUCGAGCAGGGACGAAAGUCGGUCUUAGUGAUCUGACGGUGCUGAGUGGAAAGGCCGUCACUCAACGGAUAAAAGUUACUCUAGGAUAACAGGCUGAUCUCCCCCAAGAGUUCACAUCGACGGGGAGGUUUGGCACCUCGAUGUCGGCUCAUCGCAUCCAGGGGCGGUAGUACGUCCCAAGGGUUGGGCUGUUCGCCCAUGAAAGCGGUACGCGAGCUGGGUUCAGAACGUCGUGAGACAGUUCGGUCCAUAUCCGGUGUAGGCGUUAGAAUAUUGAGAGGAGCCUUCUUUAGUACGAGAGGACCGAGAAGGACAUACCUCUGGUGUACCAGUUAUCGUGCCAACGGUAAACGCUGGGUAGCCAUGUAUGGAGAGGAUAACCGCUGAAAGCAUCUAAGUGGGAAGCCCACCUCAAGAUAAGUA